GUUAUAUGGUCAAGUGAAUAAGCGCAUAUGGUGGAUGCCUAGGCGGUAAGAGGCGAUGAAGGACGUAGUAGCUUGCGAUAAGCCUCGGGGAGUCGGCAAACUGACUUUGAUCCGAGGAUUUCCGAAUGGGGAAACCCACCCAGCAUAAGCUGGGUAUCGUUAGCUGAAUAUAUAGGUUAACGAGGCAAACCCGGGGAACUGAAACAUCUAAGUACCCGGAGGAAAAGAAAUCAACCGAGAUUCCCUGAGUAGCGGCGAGCGAAAGGGGACCAGCCCUUAAGCUGUUGAUGAGUUAGUGGAACAGUCUGGAAAGUCUGGUGAUACAGGGUGACAGCCCCGUACACGAAAAUGACUCAGCAGUGAAAUCGAGUAAGGCGGAGCACGUGAAACUCUGUCUGAACAUGGGGGGACCAUCCUCCAAGGCUAAAUACUCCUUACCGACCGAUAGUGAACCAGUACCGUGAGGGAAAGGCGAAAAGAACCCCUUUUAGGGGAGUGAAAUAGAACCUGAAACCGUAUGCGUACAAGCAGUCGGAGCCCCGCCACUAAAUCACUUUUAACGUAACUAUGUACUACGUGUAUGUACUGCAAAAUGUGCAAGAUGAAACAGACUUCUACACAGGUUACAGCAGUGACCUGAAGAAGCGUGUUGAGCAGCACAAUGAAGGUAAAAACACUUCUACCCGAGGGAAGAGGUGGCGCGUAGUGUAUUACGAAGCGUAUAUCAGUGAAGAGGUGGCGCGAGAUAGAGAACGCAAGCUUAAGAAUGAUGGGCGAGUGAAGCGUUUUUUGUUCGAACGCAUUAAGUCACAGUUUGGAGAGUGAUUUAGUGGCGGGGUAACGGCGUACCUUUUGUAUAAUGGGUCAGCGACUUACUUCUCAGUAGCAAGCUUAACCGAAUAGGGGAGGCGUAGGGAAACCGAGUCUUAAUAGGGCGAAUUAGUUGCUGGGAGUAGACCCGAAACCGGGCGAUCUAUCCAUGGCCAGGGUGAAGGUGGAGUAACAUCUACUGGAGGCCCGAACCCACUUAUGUUGAAAAAUGAGGGGAUGAGCUGUGGAUAGGAGUGAAAGGCUAAUCAAGCCCGGAGAUAGCUGGUUCUCCUCGAAAGCUAUUUAGGUAGCGCCUCAUGUAUCACCACCGGGGGUAGAGCACUGUUACGGCUAGGGGGUCAUCCCGACUUACCAACCCGUUGCAAACUCCGAAUACCGGUGAGUGCAAUCAUGGGAGACAGACGGCGGGUGCUAACGUCCGUCGUCAAAAGGGAAACAACCCAGACCGCCAGCUAAGGUCCCAAAAUCACAUCUCAGUGGGAAACGAUGUGGGAAGGCAUAGACAGCUAGGAGGUUGGCUUAGAAGCAGCCAUCCUUUAAAGAAAGCGUAAUAGCUCACUAGUCGAGUCGGCCUGCGCGGAAGAUUUAACGGGGCUUAAGAUGUGUACCGAAGCUGCGGAUGCAGACUUGUUCUGCAUGGUAGAGGAGCGUUCUGUAGGCCGUUGAAGGUGAACUGUAAGGUUUGCUGGAGGUAUCAGAAGUGCGAAUGCUGACAUGAGUAACGAUAAAGGGGGUGAGAGGCCCCCUCGCCGAAAGCCCAAGGUUUCCUGCGCAACGCUAAUCGGCGCAGGGUUAGUCGGCCCCUAAGACGAGGCAGAGAUGCGUAGUCGAUGGGAAGCAGGUCAAUAUUCCUG
rnacentral:rRNA from 1 species